rnacentral:tRNA from 1 species
GGAGAGGUGGCUGAGCGGCUGAAAGCGCACGCUUGGAAAGCGUGUUUACGUUAAUAGCGUAACCAGGGUUCGAAUCCCUGUCUCUCCGC